rnacentral:rRNA from 1 species
GACGAACGCUGGCGGCGUGCUUAACACAUGCAAGUCGAACGAAGAGCGAUGGAAGCUUGCUUCUAUCAAUCUUAGUGGCGAACGGGUGAGUAACGCGUAAUCAACCUGCCCUUCAGAGGGGGACAACAGUUGGAAACGACUGCUAAUGCCGCAUACAAUCUGACCUCGGCAUCGAGGAUAGAUGAAAGGUGGCCUCUAUUUAUAAGCUAUCACUGAAGGAGGGGAUUGCGUCUGAUUAGCUAGUUGGAGGGGUAACGGCCCACCAAGGCGAUGAUCAGUAGCCGGUCUGAGAGGAUGAACGGCCACAUUGGGACUGAGACACGGCCCAGACUCCUACGGGAGGCAGCAGUGGGGAAUCUUCCGCAAUGGACGAAAGUCUGACGGAGCAACGCCGCGUGAGUGAUGACGGCCUUCGGGUUGUAAAGCUCUGUUAAUCGGGACGAAAGGCCUUCUUGCGAAUAGUUAGAAGGAUUGACGGUACCGGAAUAGAAAGCCACGGCUAACUACGUG